rnacentral:tRNA from 1 species
GCUUCCGUAGCUCAGUUGGUUAGAGCGUCGUACUAAUAAUGCGAAGGCCUCAGGUUCAAGCCCUGGCGGGAGCA